rnacentral:SRP_RNA from 1 species
GCCAGGUGUGGUGGCGGGCACCUGUAGUCCCAGCUACUCAUGGAGGCUGAGGCAGGAGAAUCGCUUGAACCCAGGAGGCAUAGGUUGCAGUGAGCUGAGAUCACGCCACUGCAUUCCAGCCUGGGUGACAGAGCGAGACUCGGUCUAAA